UGGGGAAUUUUGCACAAUGGGGGAAACCCUGAUGCAGCGACGCCGCGUGAUUUAGAAGGCCUUCGGGUUGUAAAAAUCUUUUCUAUGGGAAGAAAAUGACAGUACCAUAGGAAUAAGGACCGGCUAAUUACGUUCCAGCAGCCGCGGUAAUACGUAAGGUCCGAGCGUUUUCCGGAAUUAUUGGGCGUAAAGGGUACGUAGGCGGGUAAGCAAGUUAGAAGUGAAGUCCUAUAGCUCAACGCUUGUAAGCUUUUAAAACUUCUCAUCUUGAGGUAUGGAAGUGAAAGUGGAAUUCCUAGUGUAGCGGUGAAAUGCGCAGAUAUUAGGAGGAAUACCGGUGGCGAAGGCGGCUUUCUGGCCAUAACCUGACGCUGAGGUACGAAAGCGUGGGUAGCAAACAGG
rnacentral:rRNA from 1 species